AGUGGCCAAUGAUCCAUAUCAAUAAAGUAAACAUCUCGUGCCAUCUUAGUCAAUCAAGUUACUUACAAACAUAAGAUUGCAAAUCAGUUAAAUUGUUAGCAAUGCAUCAGUAUGCACAACAUUUCAUAAACAUGAUUUAUUGCUCACAAAUCUUCUGAUGACUCUUCUAUACUUUGCACCAGUCACAGAUAUGUAGCGUCUGAAACAUAUGUCCUCUUGAUCUAUGAUGAGUAGGUACCAGUAUACUGAUGAGCAUAUAGGUACAAAUAUCUGCUAGACUUCAACCAAUAAAUGAGGCAUAAAGUCUUGCAUAGCUUUAUCAAAAAUCUUUCAUGUGCCUAGCAGCAUGCUCUAGAAGGGGAAAAAUGAAACAUACAUUAAAGGAUAUAGUACUAGACCAAAGCAUGAUAUUGCAUGAAG
rnacentral:lncRNA from 1 species